rnacentral:rRNA from 1 species
UCGAUUCCCUUAGUAGCGGCGAGCGAAACGGGAAGAGCCCAAACCAACAAGCUUGCUUGUUGGGGUUGUAGGACACUCUAUACGGAGUUACAAAGGACGACAUUAGACGAAUCAUCUGGAAAGAUGAAUCAAAGAAGGUAAUAAUCCUGUAGUCGAAAAUGUUGUCUCUCUUGAGUGGAUCCUGAGUACGACGGAGCACGUGAAAUUCCGUCGGAAUCUGGGAGGACCAUCUCCUAAGGCUAAAUACUCUCUAGUGACCGAUAGUGAACCAGUACCGUGAGGGAAAGGUGAAAAGCACCCCGGAAGGGGAGUGAAAUAGAACCUGAAACCGUGUGCUUACAAGUAGUCAGAGCCCGUUAAUGGGUGAUGGCGUGCCUUUUGUAGAAUGAACCGGCGAGUUACGAUUUGAUGCAAGGUUAAGCAGUAAAUGUGGAGCCGUAGCGAAAGCGAGUCUGAAUAGGGCGUUUAGUAUUUGGUCGUAGACCCGAAACCAGGUGAUCUACCCUUGGUCAGGUUGAAGUUCAGGUAACACUGAAUGGAGGACCGAACCGACUUACGUUGAAAAGUGAGCGGAUGAACUGAGGGUAGCGGAGAAAUUCCAAUCGAACCUGGAGAUAGCUGGUUCUCUCCGAAAUAGCUUUAGGGCUAGCCUCAAGUGAUGAUUAUUGGAGGUAGAGCACUGUUUGGACGAGGGGCCCCUCUCGGGUUACCGAAUUCAGACAAACUCCGAAUGCCAAUUAAUUUAACUUGGGAGUCAGAACAUGGGUGAUAAGGUCCGUGUUCGAAAGGGAAACAGCCCAGACCACCAGCUAAGGUCCCAAAAUAUAUGUUAAGUGGAAAAGGAUGUGGCGUUGCCCAGACAACUAGGAUGUUGGCUUAGAAGCAGCCAUCAUUUAAAGAGUGCGUAAUAGCUCACUAGUCGAGUGACACUGCGCCGAAAAUGUACCGGGGCUAA